CAGGGAGACAACACAAUGAUUUUGAUGCGUGAGUACUUUUAUUCUUAGGCCGAAAUCCUGUCACAUUAGGUCGAUCGGUACCUCAGCUUUGAAGUCAAGGAUCAGCAGCAAUGUUGAUUGCUUGAUGGAGAUUUUCAGUUCCUAAACUUUGUCUAGGUCACACCCCAAAAGGGAUGAGACUCCUGGGCCAUUAGCUCAGGUGGUUAGAGCGCACCCCUGAUAAGGGUGAGGUCCCUGGUUCAAGUCCAGGAUGGCCCAUUCGGUGUUGGGGGUUUAGCUCAGUUGGUAGAGCGCCUGCUUUGCAAGCAGGAUGUCAGGAGUUCGAGUCUCCUAACCUCCACUGACCGAACUUGAUUCCCAUCUCCAAUUUUUUGGAGUUGAGCUCGAUUGGAGUGUGAUUUAGAUGUGUCCGCUGGAUGACCCCAGCUUCCUGUCAUUCCAAGUUUUAGGUUGACGCCUUGAAUUUGGUUGAUAAGAUGCUGGGCUCGGAUCAAAUGAUCAAGCAAUUGAUGAUUUGAUUUGAAGUUCUAGCAGAACCUUGACAACUGCAUAGGUGAGUCUGGAAAAAACAAAGCAUCUUACAGAUGCAUUGUUUUGAAUCUGAUCUUCUGAAAGGGAGAUUGGAUCUAGAACAAUGAAAAUUCUUUUGAGCAAGAGCCGAGACUCUUGAGCGUUCUUUGAUUGGUGUCGAGCCAAUCAGAGUUUGAUCUUGUUUUUAGCAAUAAAAACUUGAGAAUCUGCUUUCAACGGCGGUAAGCGUUCAGGAGGUUAAUU
rnacentral:tRNA from 1 species